rnacentral:rRNA from 1 species
ACUCCUGCGGGAGGCAGCAGUGGGGAAUCUUGCGCAAUGGGCGAAAGCCUGACGCAGCCAUGCCGCGUGAAUGAUGAAGGUCUUAGGAUUGUAAAAUUCUUUCACCGGGGACGAUAAUGACGGUACCCGGAGAAGAAGCCCCGGCUAACUUCGUGCCAGCAGCCGCGGUAAUACGAAGGGGGCUAGCGUUGCUCGGAAUUACUGGGCGUAAAGGGAGCGUAGGCGGACAUUUAAGUCAGGGGUGAAAUCCCGGGGCUCAACCUCGGAAUUGCCUUUGAUACUGGGUGUCUUGAGUAUGAGAGAGGUGUGUGGAACUCCGAGUGUAGAGGUGAAAGUCGUAGAUAUUCGGAAGAACACCAGUGGCGAAGGCGACACACUGGCUCAUUACUGACGCUGAGGCUCGAAAGCGUGGGGAGCAAACAGGAUUAGAUACCCCUGUAGUCCCAUGA